CCAGCCCAAUGGAUAAGGCGUUGGUCUACGAAACCAGAGAUUUUGGGUUCGAUCCCCAGUGGA
rnacentral:tRNA from 1 species